rnacentral:misc_RNA from 1 species
AAAAAACGGGGCAAGCGACUCGUUGUUUAUAAACUGUCCAUCUCUAACAUAAACACUAUAAUUUUUUUUGGAAAGUCCUGAAAUAUCUUCAUUCACAAACUUGAACAUUUUCAGGAUCCACGUAAUAUCAAAUUGUGCAGGAAAUGGAGAAGGUGAAAAAUAGAAUCUGAUAGGCGGAGGUGGUGUAGGCGGCGGACUUUUAAUUGUGGUAACCAGGAACUUCCAGUCCGUGGGUUUAACUACAGAGGGAGAUACAGACAGCGGUGAGCAACUGUAGCUGAAUGAACUUUCGGCAAUAAUUAAGUUUACAACAAAGCAAUAAUGGCUGGA